rnacentral:rRNA from 1 species
UACGUAGGUGGCGAGCGUUGUCCGGAUUUACUGGGCGUAAAGGGAGCGUAGGCGGACUUUUAAGUGAGAUGUGAAAUACUCGGGCUCAACUUGAGUGCUGCAUUUCAAACUGGAAGUCUAGAGUGCAGGAGAGGAGAAUGGAAUUCCUAGUGUAGCGGUGAAAUGCGUAGAGAUUAGGAAGAACACCGGUGGCGAAGGCGAUUCUCUGGACUGUAACUGACGCUGAGGCUCGAAAGCGUGGGGAGCAAACAGG